GACGAACGCUGGUUUCGUGCUUAACACAUGCAAGUCGAACGGAAAGGCCCUGCUUUUGUGGGGUGCUCGAGUGGCGAACGGGUGAGUAACACGUGAGUAACCUGCCCUUGACUUUGGGAUAACUUCAGGAAACUGGGGCUAAUACCGGAUAGGAGCUCCUGCUGCAUGGUGGGGGUUGGAAAGUUUCGGCGGUUGGGGAUGGACUCGCGGCUUAUCAGCUUGUUGGUGGGGUAGUGGCUUACCAAGGCUUUGACGGGUAGCCGGCCUGAGAGGGUGACCGGCCACAUUGGGACUGAGAUACGGCCCAGACUCCUACGGGAGGCAGCAGUGGGGAAUAUUGCACAAUGGGCGGAAGCCUGAUGCAGCAACGCCGCGUGCGGGAUGACGGCCUUCGGGUUGUAAACCGCUUUCGCCUGUGACGAAGCGUGAGUGACGGUAAUGGGUAAAGAAGCACCGGCUAACUACGUGCCAGCAGCCGCGGUGAUACGUAGGGUGCGAGCGUUGUCCGGAUUUAUUGGGCGUAAAGGGCUCGUAGGUGGUUGAUCGCGUCGGAAGUGUAAUCUUGGGGCUUAACCCUGAGCGUGCUUUCGAUACGGGUUGACUUGAGGAAGGUAGGGGAGAAUGGAAUUCCUGGUGGAGCGGUGGAAUGCGCAGAUAUCAGGAGGAACACCAGUGGCGAAGGCGGUUCUCUGGGCCUUUCCUGACGCUGAGGAGCGAAAGCGUGGGGAGCGAACAGGCUUAGAUACCCUGGUAGUCCACGCUGUAAACGGUGGGUACUAGGUGUGGGGUCCAUUCCACGGGUUCCGUGCCGUAGCUAACGCUUUAAGUACCCCGCCUGGGGAGUACGGCCGCAAGGCUAAAACUCAAAGGAAUUGACGGGGCCCCGCACAAGCGGCGGAGCAUGCGGAUUAAUUCGAUGCAACGCGUAGAACCUUACCUGGGUUUGACAUGGAUCGGGAGCGCUCAGAGAUGGGUGUGCCUCUUUUGGGGUCGGUUCACAGGUGGUGCAUGGCUGUCGUCAGCUCGUGUCGUGAGAUGUUGGGUUAAGUCCCGCAACGAGCGCAACCCUUGUUCACUGUUGCCAGCACGUUAUGGUGGGGACUCAGUGGAGACCGCCGGGGUCAACUCGGAGGAAGGUGGGGAUGACGUCAAGUCAUCAUGCCCCUUAUGUCCAGGGCUUCACGCAUGCUACAAUGGCCGGUACAGAGAGUGGCGAGCCUGUGAGGGUGAGCGAAUCUCGGAAAGCCGGUCUCAGUUCGGAUUGGGGUCUGCAACUCGACCUCAUGAAGUCGGAGUCGCUAGUAAUCGCAGAUCAGCAACGCUGCGGUGAAUACGUUCCCGGG
rnacentral:rRNA from 1 species